UUAAAAGCGGUAGUACCUUUGUUCAUGGUU
rnacentral:piRNA from 1 species